rnacentral:rRNA from 1 species
UACGUAGGGUGCGAGCGUUGUCCGGAAUUAUUGGGCGUAAAGAGCUCGUAGGCGGUCUGUCGCGUCGUGCCUGUGAAAACCCGAGGCUCAACCUCGGGCCUGCAGUGGGUACGGGCAGACUAGAGUGCGGUAGGGGAGAAUGGAACUCCUGGUGUAGCGGUGGAAUGCGCAGAUAUCAGGAAGAACACCGAUGGCGAAGGCAGUUCUCUGGGCCGUAACUGACGCUGAGGAGCGAAAGCUAGGGGAGCAAACGGG